CGCCCGUGCUGCGCACUGCCCGCCCCUGGCGCUGGCCAGGCGAGACCCUGGCGCUCAAGGUCAGCGCGGCCCCGGCCGGCCUCCGAGCAUCUGCGCAGACACCUACCGGAGCUGCGACACCUCCACCCACUCGGGCUGGGAAAUUCUCCACCUUCCUUAGGCCACAGCUCCCGGCCUGAGCUCUCGCGGUCCAGCCACAUCGCCGAGCCAUCUUAGCAGAGAAAGCCUAGCUUCUGCAAACAGGCGUGGACAUUCAUUCUAACCACUUGCCCAAAUGGGGACCAGUGUUUUGCAAGAGACCAGAAAGCGGGAAAGCAGGCAGGUUAGCCUGCACCGCUAGCAGGCAGCUCACACUCGCCUUGCCUUCUCAAACAAUCCCUAAAAUUGCCAUUUCCCAGAUGUGAAAACUCGAGCUGUCGAGUCCAUGUGACCUGUGUAGAGCCACUCCAAUAAGUGGCAAGCAGGAACUGCAACUUAGCCCUCCUAACUCCAAAACUCAUACUAAUCCCUUCUCCUUUUGGCCCCCCUCUUCUCUCACUCUCAGAAUGAAUGGGCCAUCUCCAGAUGGCCUCUUUGCACUUAGACUGGAGGCAGGUUCCAGAGAAGCCCACAUGAUCUUCUAGCAGAGAACCCUGGCCCAUUAAGAGUUAACCAGCCACUACCUCUGGGCCCCAGACGCUUGCUUUUGUGACUCAUCAUAACACGUGGCUGCCAUUAGAUUAGAGUUGUCCCUUUAGAAAGGCAAGGGACAGGAGGCGGGAUUGGCCCUGAGCUCGGGAUGUCAGAAGAGGAAGAAAGAGCGAGCAACCUGCAAAUGCAGCCAUGGUGGGAAGGGUUUGGACCAGAUCCCAGAGGAGCCAGGCAAGCUGAAUUUAGACAUCAAGACAGACUGCCUGGAAAGACUGACGUCCCUGGCUGGGUCCUGAAGUCUCAUCUCUUAGCUCCAAUGAGCAGCCCUAACUCCUGUGGGUGACACUGUGUAUGAGAAGGGGAAGGAGCAGGAAGAGAGGCCUGUACGUGACUCUCUUGGACAUCUCUCAAGAUGAAAGCAGUUGAGCAGAGGUCAGCAGCAGAGUCAGAACUCUUUCCCCAUCACCACAGUGGUCAAGCUGGAGCCAGACAUCCAGUGAGUCAGCAGGGAGUCCCCAAGGCUGUUCCUGGUCCUCAAGAGUUCUGGCCCGACUUCAGCUCGUCACUGCUUCCCCCUCCCAGUCCAGGUGACACAGUUUCAAUCACGUGCUCAGCGCCAUGUUGAGCCAACAACUGAGCCUGGGGACUAACUUCACAAGUCUCAGUCCCUUCCUCACCUGUCGGGACACCUGUUUCCUGACUUGUCAUGCCUGAGUGGUGUCAGGCCUGCUUUCUUUCCUCAUUUCCUCUACAACCCACAAGAACACAUGGUCAGAACCACUAGGCUUCUCCAGGAUCACUAUCCACUGUUCACACUAUACUUCUGGAUCACUAUACACUGUUCACAGUAUACUUCAGGAUCACUAUACACUGUUUGCACUAUACUUCCAGAUCA